GACGAACGCUGGCGGCGGGCUUAACACAUGCAAGUCGAACGGAAAGGCCCUGCGUUUGUGGGGUGCUCGAGUGGCGAACGGGUGAGUAACACGUGAGUAACCUGCCCUUGACUUUGGGAGAACUUCAGGAAACGGGGGCUAAUACCGGAUAGGAGCUGCUGCUGCAUGGUGGGGGGUGGAAAGUUUCGGCGGUUGGGGCUGGACUCGCGGCUUAUCAGCUUGUUGGUGGGGUAGUGGCUUACCAAGGCUUUGACGGGUAGCCGGCCUGAGAGGGUGGCCGGCCACAUUGCGACUACGGUACGGCGCAGUCUCCUACGGGAGGCAGUAGUGGGGAACCUUGCCCAAUGGGCGGAAGCCUGAUGCAGAAGCGCCGCGUGCGGGAUGACGGCCUUCGGGUUGUAAACCGCUUUCGCCUGUGACGAAGCGUGAGUGACGGUAAUGGGUAAAGAAGCACCGGCUAACUACGUG
rnacentral:rRNA from 1 species